rnacentral:lncRNA from 1 species
UGGUUUUCACAUGCAGGAAAACAUAUAUACAUAUACAGAUCAUGUACAAAACAUACAUCACUAGGUCAAGCAACAACUAUUAUAUCUCUUUAAUAUUACAUGUCCACUCUAAACUAUUACAGAUCUCUUUACUUUUUCUGUACUCUGCUAGUCUGUCCCUCCCUGUACACUGUACACUGAAUACUGAACCUGCAAAACUGGGGUUAAGGGAGUGGGAUGAGCUCUAUAGCCCAGUGAGUAGAACAGUAAAACAUCUCAGUAAAAUAUGAUCUCAUGGAAUGCACCAUAUCACAGACAAGCCACAUCAAGAGUAAACCUGUCACCACAUAGUCCCAGUAACUCUGUGCCAGGGCGUAGAAUCGAGCACCUGGUCUUCCUGUCAUAUAUGUAUAUGUGUAUAUAACACCUGUGAACUUACCAUUGCCAGGGCGUAGUCAAAGGCUCCUGGACUUUACUAUAUACCUGCCAGGGCGUAGUCAAAGGCUCCUGGUCUUUGCUAUACGUGCCAGGGCGUAGUCAAAGGCUCCUGGUCUUCCUGUCUGUGACUAUUGGAUCAUUCAGCAUUUACUCACAUCAUCAAAUAACGAUGCAAUGCAACAUAUUCGUGAAUACUAAUGCAAUCAACCUACGGCAUAAACAUGAUGCAUGAGAUAUGCUAAAAGCAGUUUGUGGUUCAAUUAAAAGUUAUAAGUUUAGUUCCACUCACCUCUGGCUAUCUGGACUGACUGACUCUGCAGGCUCUGAAACUCUGGAGCAGUACUCACUGCUGCUCUCUCUGGUUCCUCUGGUCUGUACCUAUACAGAUGGACUCAAAUGAGGGACCAAACUAACUUAUCAAUACCUCUAUUAAACUCCCCACGAAUCCCCUGACAUUCACUUAACUAAUCAUGCAAAGCAUACAAAAGAAAAGCUGGACAGAACACUUUCGGCGGCAGGUUCGGCGGCCGAAUGUCCUCUCCAGAGACGAAACUCAAGCACCUUCGGCGGCCGAAUCUCUAUGUUCGGCGGCCGAACCCUUUCGGGGGCAAGUUUCGGAGGCCACAAGGCACUCCAGAGACGAAAGUCUCUAACCUUCGGCGGCCGAAUCCCCCAAACAGAGCCGAACAUGCACAACUCGCGGGGGCAAGCUGUGGCAGCCUAAGCUACCAUGCAAGAGGUUCGGCGGCCGAAUGAACCUUCGGCUGCCGAACCUGAGUUCAUCCAGAACUCAGUUUCAAUGGCAAACCAUCUCCCUCUUUGCUUCAACUUCUCAAACCAUGCAAACUUCACCUCCUCAACAUACAUAUACUCAUGUAUAUGAUCACAGGGGUCCAAAACUAGCUAAUAACCCCAAACAACAAAACAAACAUACAUAUAAACAUGUAACCAUGCAUAAUUCUUUAAAACUACCAUUAAUACCCUAAGCAUGCAUCUCCUUCCUUUAUCCCCAUAAACUCAGAAACAUAUACACAUGUUCAAGUGCAUCACUUACCUCCUGUAGCAAGAAGCUAAACACUCUGAACAAGGGAAAACGGAUCACCUCUUCUCACACUCUCAAACUCUCUCAAACUCACUUUUUGCUUCAAACCCUUCAAAACUUGGUGAAUGAGCAAACUCCUGCAUGAGCUGCUCAAAACACUUGCAGAUGAGUCAUAGAAGACGUGGCUAAUUCAUGGCAAGAAUCUGAGGCCAACAUCUGUCAAAAGCCAUGACUCAGCUUGGCUGGCCAACUCAUCGUCGGCUGCCCAAUCAUAUGCAAGACCAUGCAACGUUCGGGGGCCGAACUUCCCUUCGGAAGCCAAACACUUUCGGCGGCCGAA